rnacentral:rRNA from 1 species
GAACAGUACCGUGAGGGAAAGGUGAAAAGAACCCCGGGAGGGGAGUGAAAUAGAACCUGAAACCUUAUGCUUACAAGCAAUGGGAGCGCAAGUGACCAUGUACUUUUUGUAGAACGGGCCAACGAGUUAUGGUAUGUAGCAAGGUUAAGUUGCUGGAGCAACGGAGCCGUAGGGAAACCGAGUCUUAACAGGGCGAUAGUUGCAUGCUGUAGACCCGAAACCGGGUGACCUAUCCAUGUGCAGGUUGAAGCGGGAGUAAAAUCCCGUGGAGGACCGAACAUAUAUCUGUUGAAAAAGGUUAUGAUGACGUGUGGAUAGCGGUGAAAUUCCAAUCGAACCCGGAGAUAGCUGGUUCUCCUCGAAAUAGCUUUAGGGCUAGCCUUAAGUAAAGAUACACGGAGGUAGAGCACUGAAUGUUCAAGGGGCCUUCACCGGUUACCAACAACUAUCAAACUCCGAAUGCCGUGUUAUCAUACUUGGGAGUCAGACUACGAGAGAUAAGUUCCGUGGUCGAAAGGGAAACAGCCCAGACCCACAGCUAAGGUCCCCAAAUGUAAGUUAAGUGGAAAAGGAUGUGUUGGUGCACAAACAGCUAGGAUGUUGGCUUAGAAGCAGCCAUUCAUUUAAAGAGUGCGUAACAGCUCACUAGUCGAGUGACAUCGCGCCGAAGAUAAACGGGGCUAAAACUUACUACCGAAGCUUGGGAAUAUAUCAAUAUAUUGGUAGAGGAGCAUCCUGUGGGGGCAGAAGGUGAGACGUAAGUCUUGCUGGACCGCACAGGAGAGAGAAUGUUGGCAUGAGUAGCGAGAGCCGUGUGAGAAUCACGGCCACCGAAAAUCCAAGGUUUCCUGAGGAAGGCUCGUCCGCUCAGGGUUAGUCGGGACCUAAGCCGAGGUCGAAAGACGUAGGCGAUGGACAACAGGUUGAGAUUCCUGUACCACCGAAAGUCGUUUGAACGAAGUGGGGACACAGAAGGAUAAGCAGAGCGCGCCGUUGGUUGAGCGUGUCCAAGCGUCAAGGCUUGUAUGCAGGUAAAUCCGCAUACUAUAAGGCUGAGGCGUGAUGGGGAGGGAAGUAUAGUACCGGAAGCUGCUGAUUCCACACUGUCAAGAAAAGCCACUAGUGAGACCGUAGGUGCCCGUACCGCAAACCGACACAGGUAGAUGAGGAGAGAAUCCUAAGGUGAGCGAGAGAACUAUUGUUAAGGAACUCGGCAAAAUAACCCCGUAACUUCGGGAGAAGGGGUGCCUGCGAAAGCAGGCCGCAGUGAAAAGGCCCAGGCGACUGUUUACCAAAAACACAGGUCUCUGCUAAAGCGAAAGCUGAUGUAUAGGGGCUGACGCCUGCCCGGUGCUGGAAGGUUAAGGGGACGUGUUAGAGCAAUCGAAGCAUUGAACUUAAGCCCCAGUAAACGGCGGCCGUAACUAUAACGGUCCUAAGGUAGCGAAAUUCCUUGUCAGGUAAGUUCUGACCCGCACGAAAGGCGUAACGAUCUGGGCACUGUCUCAACAAUAGACUCGGUGAAAUUGUAGUACCGGUAAAGAUGCCGGUUACCCGCAGCAGGACGGAAAGACCCCAUGGAGCUUUACUGCAGUUUGAUAUUGGAGUUCGGCAUUGCACGUACAGGAUAGGUGGGAGACUAUGAAGUAAGGGCGUCAGUCUUUACGGAGUCACCGUUGGGAUACCACCCUUGUAAUGUUGAGCUUCUAACCGUAUACCGUGAUCCGGUAUCGGGACAGUGUCUGACGGGCAGUUUGACUGGGGCGGUCGCCUCCUAAAGAGUAACGGAGGCGCCCAAAGGUUCCCUCAGUGCGGACGGAAAUCGCACGCAGAGCGCAAAGGCAGAAGGGAGCUUGACUGCGAGACAUACAGGUCGAGCAGGGACGAAAGUC